GACGAACGCUGGCGGCGUGCUUAACACAUGCAAGUCGAACGGAAAGGCCCUGCUUUUGUGGGGUGCUCGAGUGGCGAACGGGUGAGUAACACGUGAGUAACCUGCCCUUGACUUUGGGAUAACUUCAGGAAACUGGGGCUAAUACCGGAUAGGAGCUCCUGCUGCAUGGUGGGGGUUGGAAAGUUUCGGCGGUUGGGGAUGGACUCGCGGCUUAUCAGCUUGUUGGUGGGGUAGUGGCUUACCAAGGCUUUGACGGGUAGCCGGCCUGAGAGGGUGACCGGCCACAUUGGGACUGAGAUACGGCCCAGACUCCUACGGGAGGCAGCAGUGGGGAAUAUGGCACAAUGGGCGGAAGCCUGAUGCAGCAACGCCGCGUGCGGGAGGACGGCCUUCGGGUUGUAAACCGCUUUCGCCUGUGACGAAGCGUGAGUGACGGGAAUGGGUAAAGAAGCACCGGCUAACUACGU
rnacentral:rRNA from 1 species